GACGAACGCUGGCGGCGUGCUUAACACAUGCAAGUCGAACGCUGAAGCUUGGUGCUUGUACUGGGUGGCUGAGUGGCGAACGGGUGAGUAAUACGUGAGUAACCUGCCCUUGACUCUGGGAUAAGCCUGGGAAACUGGGUCUAAUACUGGAUACGACAUGUCACCGCAUGGUGGUGUGUGGAAAGGGUUUUACUGGUUUUGGAUGGGCUCACGGCCUAUCAGCUUGUUGGUGGGGUAAUGGCUCACCAAGGCGACGACGGGUAGCCGGCCUGAGAGGGUGACCGGCCACACUGGGACUGAGACACGGCCCAGACUCCUACGGGAGGCAGCAGUGGGGAAUAUUGCACAAUGGGCGGAAGCCUGAUGCAGCGACGCCGCGUGAGGGAUGACGGCCUUCGGGUUGUAAACCUCUUUCAGCACGGAAGAAGCGAAAGUGACGGUACGUGCAGAAGAAGCGCCGGCUAACUACGUG
rnacentral:rRNA from 1 species